rnacentral:misc_RNA from 1 species
UCCGGCUUGACGCCGGCAGUCCCCCGAGAGUCCUCAGCUUUACCUGUUAGUAACACGGGGCAAGGGUUGCGCUCGUUGCGGGACUUAACCCAACAUCUCACGACACGAGCUGACGACAGCCAUGCAGCACCUGUGCUGGUGUUCCGAAGAAGGGCCCCUGUUUCCAGAGGCUUUCACCAGCAUGUCAAACCUAGGUAAGGUGGGGAUGACGUCUGCGUAACAGAA